rnacentral:tRNA from 1 species
UUGUAGCUCAGUGGUAGAGUAUGUGCUUAGCAUGCAAGAGGCCCUGGGUCUGAUCCCCAGCAA